rnacentral:rRNA from 1 species
UACGAAGGGGGCUAGCGUUGCUCGGAAUUACUGGGCGUAAAGGGCGCGUAGGCGGACAUUUAAGUUAGAGGUGAAAGCCCAGGGCUCAACCCUGGAAUAGCCUUUAAUACUGGAUGUCUUGAGUUCGGGAGAGGUGAGUGGAACUGCGAGUGUAGAGGUGAAAUUCGUAGAUAUUCGCAAGAACACCAGUGGCGAAGGCGGCUCACUGGCCCGGUACUGACGCUGAGGUGCGAAAGCGUGGGGAGCAAACAGG